AGAGGCCACAAGCAUUAGUCGGAAUCACUGGGCUUAAAGGGUGCGUAGGUUGUCCAUCAAGUGUUUUGUGAAAUCCCACGGCUCAACCGUGGAACAGCAGGACCUACUGAUGGACUUGAGGCAAGUAGGGGCUGACGGAACAGUAGGUGGAGCGGUGAAAUGCGUAGAUAUCUACUGGAACGCCGAUGGUGAAGACGGUCAGCUGGGCUUGUCCUGACACUGAGGCACGAAAGCGUGGGGAGCAAACAGGAUUAGAUACCCUGGUAGUCCACGCUGUAAACGAUGCGCACUGGACCGGUGCGGUUUUGACGCCGUAUCGGUCGUAGUAAAAACGAUAAGUGCGCCGCCUGGGGAGUACGGUCGCAAGAUUA
rnacentral:rRNA from 1 species